rnacentral:rRNA from 1 species
UACGUAGGGCGCAAGCGUUGUCCGGAAUUAUUGGGCGUAAAGAGCUCGUAGGCGGUUUGUCGCGUCUGCUGUGAAAACUCGAGGCUCAACCUCGGGCUUGCAGUGGGUACGGGCAGACUAGAGUGCGGUAGGGGAGACUGGAAUUCCUGGUGUAGCGGUGGAAUGCGCAGAUAUCAGGAGGAACACCGAUGGCGAAGGCAGGUCUCUGGGCCGCAACUGACGCUGGAGGAGCGAAAGCGUCGGGAGCAAACAGG